CCUCAUCUUUUUCUCUUUUAUUUUUAUCUCUCUUAUCCAGUUUAACAUUUGCUCUGGCUUGAUUUACUCAGUCUCGCCUCAUCUCAUCCCACCAACACAUCUUUAAUACGAUCUUAAAGAUUUAUUCGAAUUUCUAAUUUUUUAACAUUCUACAUUUUUAACGUCGCCAUUUGUAUUUUCAACUUCAUCUUCAUUUUGUUUAUCCAUCAGAUAGCAAAAUGCUUUACUUUCACCUGAUUUCCAGUCUGCACCUUUUAUAGCUUCAUUGACUUUGUCGCUGAUGAUGGGGUAACCCGAAACUAGUACGACUUUAUAUUAAUAAACGCAAGUUAGAAGUUUUUAUAUGGUUUUUAUUUGAUCAUUAUUCUUGCAACAUGGAUAACUCUUUUCAUAUACAACAGAGUUCACUCAUCGUUAAUUAACAGAAUAGUAUAUCCCCGACACAACAAUAGAAACAAGAUAAUCUCCCUUCCAUUUGCGCCCUCCAUACAGCAUAAAAUCACUCAAAAAGUUUAACAUAUCUACGGCGUUCUCUUCCAAUAAGAAAUUAGGUCAUAUGCUAACUAAUAACAAACACCGUUUUGACAAGUCCGAGUUAAGUGGAGUAUACAGGAUCGAAUGCGAAGAUUGUGAUCGGUUUUAUAUAGGACAGACAGGCAGGAACAUCCAAACCAGGUUUAAGGAACAUCUUAAAUGUAAAAACUCCGCAAUAUACCAACACCUAAAAGAAAAUAAUCAUAAAACCAGUCUCAAUUGUACAAAAAUACUAAAGAAUAUUAAAAAAUCCAAACUUUUAGAUUUAUACGAGGAACUUCAUAUCUACAGAAAACAAACUUAUUAACAACAUAACGGAUAUCAACAAUUUUAGAUUCUUUAUAAAAUACAUUUAAUUUCUUCGCGCGCAAGUCUAUUUUUCACAACGAUAGGUUUUUAUUCUUUGUUAAA